CGGAGGAAAAGAAACCAACAGGGAUUACCUCAGUAACGGCGAGUGAAGCGGUAACAGCUCAAAUUUGAAAUCUGGCUCCUCGGGGCCCGAAUUGUAAUUUGUAGAAGAUGCUUUGGGUCUGGGCCUGGCCUAAGUUCCUUGGAACAGGACGUCGUAGAGGGUGAGAAUCCCGUAUGCGGCUGGCGCCCGUGCCCGUGUAAAGCUCUUUCAACGAGUCGAGUUGUUUGGGAAUGCAGCUCUAAAUGGGUGGUAAAUUUCAUCUAAAGCUAAAUAUUGGCCAGAGACCGAUAGCGCACAAGUAGAGUGAUCGAAAGAUGAAAAGCACUUUGGAAAGAGAGUUAAACAGUACGUGAAAUUGUUGAAAGGGAAGCGCUGGCAACCAGACUUGGGCGCUGUUGAUCCGCUAGGGUUCUCUCUAGGGCACUCGGCAGUGCGCAGGCCAGCAUCGGUUUGGGGGGUUGGAGAAUGGCUGGUGGAAUGUGGCUGUCUUUGGGCAGUGUUAUAGCCACCGGUGGCAUGCAGCCUCCCCGGACCGAGGACCGCGCUUCGGCUAGGAUGCUGGCGUAAUGGUUGUCAGCGACCCGUCUUGAAACACGGACCAAGGAGUCUAACAUCUAUGCGAGUGUUUGGGUGUUAAACCCAUACGCGGAAUGAAAGUGAACGUAGGUGAGAACCCGCAAGGGUGCAUCAUCGACCGAUCCUGAUGUCUUCGGAUGGAUUUGAGUAAGAGCAUAGCUGUUGGGACCCGAAAGAUGGUGAACUAUGCCUGAAUAGGGUGAAGCCAGAGGAAACUCUGGUGGAGGCUCGCAGCGGUUCUGACGUGCAAAUCGAUCGUCAAAUUUGGGUAUAGGGGCGAAAGACUAAUCG
rnacentral:rRNA from 1 species